rnacentral:ncRNA from 1 species
GAGAGCCCGUUGCGGUGAAAGUCGCACGGCGGAUUCGGGACGGCGGCUCGGAGAAACGGAUCGAUGGCAACACCGACACCGCGUUUCGAGCCGAC